UACGAACCGUGCGAACGUUGUUCGGAAUCACUGGGCUUAAAGGGCGCGUAGGCGGCGGGUCGAGUCCGGGGUGAAAGCCCCCAGCUUAACUGGGGAAGGGCCUCGGAGACUGGUUCGCUCGAGGGAGGUAGGGGUCGCGGGAACUUCCGGUGGAGCGGUGAAAUGCGUUGAUAUCGUCUGGAACGCCAGAGGUGAAGGCAGCUCGCUGGGGUUGUGCUGACGCUGAGACACGAAAGCCAGGGGAGCGAACGGG
rnacentral:rRNA from 1 species